AGCUUUGCGCAGUGGCAGUAUCGUAGCCAAUGAGGUUUAUCCGAGGCGCGAUUAUUGCUAAUUGAAAACAUACACAAAGUAAGAAUUAAAAGAUUUUCCUAAAGGGA
rnacentral:snRNA from 1 species